UGGGGAAUAUUGGACAAUGGGCGAAAGCCUGAUCCAGCCAUGCCGCGUGUGUGAAGAAGGUCUUCGGAUUGUAAAGCACUUUAAGUUGGGAGGAAGGGCAGUAAGCGAAUACCUUGCUGUUUUGACGUUACCGACAGAAUAAGCACCGGCUAACUCUGUGCCAGCAGCCGCGGUAAUACAGAGGGUGCAAGCAUUAAUCGGAAUUACUGGGCGUAAAGCGCGCGUAGGUGGUUCGUUAAGUUGAAUGUGAAAGCCCCGGGCUCAACCUGGGAACUGCAUCCAAAACUGGCGAGCUAGAGUAGGGCAGAGGGUGGUGGAAUUUCCUGUGUAGCGGUGAAAUGCGUAGAUAUAGGAAGGAACACCAGUGGCGAAGGCGACCACCUGGGCUCAUACUGACACUGAGGUGCGAAAGCGUGGGGAGCAAACAGG
rnacentral:rRNA from 1 species